rnacentral:pre_miRNA from 1 species
AGGCAGUGUAGUUAGCUGAUUGCCAAAAGUACCAAUCACUAGCCACACAGCCAGG